GGUUGAUCCUGCCAGUACAAUAUGCUUGUCUCAAAGAUUAAGCCAUGCACGUCUAAGUAUAAGUACCUUAUACAGCGAAACUGCGUACAGCUCAUUAAAUCAGUUAUUAUUCCUUUGAAGAUGGCUUACUACAAGGAUACCCGUAGUAAUUCUAGAGCUAAUACUUGCAUAGGAUUCCUCUCUCAAGGAGGAAUGCGGUUAUUAGAUCCGAGCCUGGGCGUGCAGCAAUGUACGUAUUUUGGUGAAUCAUGGUAACUGUGCGGACCUCCUGCAAAGGAGGCGAUUCAUUCAAA
rnacentral:rRNA from 1 species